AUCAGUGAUCACUCGUCACGUCUGUGUCCGCGCGUGACACACACAAACAGAAACGUGGUGCGCGCGGGGCUGCUCUGAACGCGUUCGUGUGAGGAUGAGAGUGGCCGUUAGGCCGCGUCUACACGGGCGGUUGUACCACGUCAGAGGCGUGGGGCUAGCCGGGGUGGCUACACUUAGGGCAAGGCGCUGUGCUGGAGCAGCGUGAGCCCCUUCGUGCUGGGCUAGCUGCGUCCGCACUAGGGGCUGUGUCGGGAUAGGAGAACGUCACUCCCCCACUGACAUAGGUCUGCCCCUACAAAACCGGCCACGUGUCCCCGCGCUAACAGCCCUUGGCUCGCAUUUCUCUAGGACAGACCCAGGUAUGGAAAGGAAGAAAUCAUCUGUCGAGUGAUCCGGAUGGCCUCUCGAGAAUGGGCUUUCAGUAGGCAGUCAUCUAGGUAAAGGAAUAUUAUGAUUCCUUGUUUCCUGAGGUGUGCCACUACUACCGCAAGGAUUUUGGAGAAGACUAAAGGUGCCGUGGAUAGACUGAAAGGUCUUCCACUGUGGAUUGGAUUUCAUGUGGGAACCCUGAGGAGUUCAACCAUAAAGGCCGGAUGACUACAGCAGUAGCAGUGGAUCUUGCUGCUUUGUCCACUGUAUCCAAGGAUGCCUGUAAUACUGUCCUUGCUAUAAGCUGUUGUUUGGAAACCAAUGAU